rnacentral:rRNA from 1 species
UGGGGAAUUUUGGACAAUGGGGGAAACCCUGAUCCAGCCAUCCCGCGUGUGCGAUGAAGGCCUUCGGGUUGUAAAGCACUUUUGGCAGGAAAGAAACGUCAUGGGUUAAUACCCCGUGAAACUGACGGUACCUGCAGAAUAAGCCCCGGCUAACUACGUGCCAGCAGCCGCGGUAAUACGUAGGGUGCAAGCGUUAAUCGGAAUUACUGGGCGUAAAGCGUGCGCAGGCGGUUCGGAAAGAAAGAUGUGAAAUCCCAGAGCUCAACUUUGGAACUGCAUUUUUAACUACCGGGCUAGAGUGUGUCAGAGGGAGGUGGAAUUCCGCGUGUAGCAGUGAAAUGCGUAGAUAUGCGGAGGAACACCGAUGGCGAAGGCAGCCUCCUGGGAUAACACUGACGCUCAUGCACGAAAGCGUGGGGAGCAAACAGG